UAUAUAUAUAUAUAAAAUAUAUGUAUUAAUAUGCUUCAUCAUUUCUACAGUGGCUUUUUUUUCCCCCUCAUAAUUUUAAACCAUUCUUUAAUUUAUUUAGACAGAAAGCCUUUUAGACAUUUUUUUCAGGUCUGUUCUGAUGCCUUGGGCUUGGGCUUCAUGGUACUGUUUUUGUCCUGUUAUGUUUUGUGUCUUUUUUUUUUUUUACUGUGACUUCAUAUUUCAUUUUUUCUUUUGCAUGAAUUCUUUGAAACUGAUAAAGCAGACUCCAGAGAGGAUUUGAAUUUGUUUCUGUCAGGAACCUGGAGGAACUACCAGCCCAGGACAACUUUAAACUGACUUCUUAGCUUGUGAUUUAUGGGAACUCCCCCACCCCGCCACCGUGCCCCUGCCCUGGUAGUAUGACUUUGGCAUGACCGGCUUGUGGUUAAAAAUUUUGGGGGAAGUGUCCUGCCCUCUCCAAGACUAAAUUUCUAGGUAAAUAAUUUUGCUUUCAAUUCCUUCUUUUUCUAGUUCCCUCUUACACUGGUGCUGUGGCCCUUUGCAGUCUCAGCUUUAUGAAGUGGGCUCUCCAAUUAAACCUCCCACGUUGGGUGAAUCGUGGGCUUUGUGACCUCUGUUCUGUGGCUUUAUGGGACUGAGAAAACCAUUCAUUUUGGCAAAUGCUCCCCAAGGCAAAAAAAAGAAAAAAAAAAUCAUUUCUCUGAUUACCUCUCUGGCUUCCUACUUUCACUGAGUUCUCCUUACUAAAUAGCUAGAUAAUUGAUGUAUUAAAAUUUUUUUAUUGUAUUUUUCCAGUAUUAUGUUUUCUGCAAGAGGGCCAAGCAGGGUACUUUGUUAACCAAAUUGUUGGAAAUAGAAAUCUAGAUAUCAACUUGAAAUUAUAGUUGGCCCUUGAACAACAAGAGUUUGAACUGGGCAGGUCCAUUUAUAUAGGGAUUUUUUUCAAUAGUAACUGCUACAGUACUGAACCAUCCAGGUUGUUUGAAUAUGUGGAUGAAAAACUGCAGAUAUGAAGGAGCUGACUCUAAGUUGUAUGAGGAUUUUCCACUGUGGGGGCCAGGGAGGGGGACAGGUGGUGCCCUAACAUCUGCAUUGUUCAAGAGUCAACUGUAUAUUGGGGAAAACUUUCUUAAUACUGAAUAACUGGAUAGCAUUUGACUAUCACAAGGUAAAAUGUAUGACAGUACUUUUCAUAGAAAGCUAAUAAAAGUAUAGCCAGCAAUAAUAUUGUAAAUACAUAAAUAAAACAGUCAAGCAGUAUUUGAUCAGGAUUUUAAUGCAAACAUGUACAUUUGAUUUUAUCAUUUAAUACAUUAUUUAUGUAAUGAUUGUGUAAUAGAAAGAGCUGGCGUUUUGUGGGAGUGAAAUAUCAUAUUUUCCUGACUUCCACUCUCAAAGAUUCUCUCGGGCUUCCCUGGUGGUGCAGUGGUUGAGAGUCCGCCUGCCGCUGCAGGGGACACGGGUUCGUGCCCCGGUCCGGGAAGAUCCCACAUGCCGCGGAGCGGCUGGGCGCGUGAGCCAUGGUCACUGAGCCUGCGCGUCCGUAGCCUGUGCUCCGCAACGGGAGAGGCCACAGCAGUGAGAGGCCCGCGUACCACAAAAAAAAAAAAAAAAAAAAAAAAAGAUUCUCUCAUACCCUGAAUGCUGGCCUGGCAAUGAAGGUUCUUCAAAAUAAGCAGAGCUAAUUUUGCUUCAUUUUUCCUCUCCUCUCCUUGUAGAGACUUGUACCCUGAACUCCACCAGAUUCCACCACCACUGGAUCCUGACCAGGCUCUUUGCUUUGCCACCUCAAAGCCUUUCAACUUGUCCUUCCUUCAUCUCCCACCUAGGCCUUGAUUAUUUUUGCAGACAAAGAGUGCAUCUUGUGUUUUCUAUCUCUGUUUCUACUUUGAGGUUUCUUUUUUAGAAAGCAACCUCUUGAAACCUCACCCUGACAAGACAAGAUGUGAUCUCUUUUUUUGCUGCCCACAGCCUUUUAAACAUCUCUUAAAGCUCUUCUAUUCUGCCUUGUGUUAUCAUUUUUUUCUUUUUUGGUUCGAAUGGAAACUUCUCAGAUGCAGAGAAUCUUAUUCAUAAGUGUGUUCCUCCCCAAAUGCCAAAACCAGUGUCAAAUACAUGUGGUGUAGAUACAAGAAAAGUACUAGAUGUAAUACAAUCAAAAAACAUCUAUUUAAUUGGAUGAAAUAGACUAGUUUGAACACAGAGCAUUCUUUUAUUUCAGUAUUAGUGCAUGCGAAGUUAUGUAUGGAGAUAAUAAAAUGGUAUGGAAAAAUGUGUGUCUGUAUGUAAACGGGAUUUGGAAACCUUGUGCUAUGCGGAAGAAAGAAAAUCAUUUUUCAGAAUGUAGGUGAAAGAAAGAGAAAUGAUUGAUUUGUUAUUAUUAACCUUGUGUAUACGUCUUUGUAAGUGGGUCUUUAUUAAAUUUUGCAGGAUUAUUGUCAUGAAUGAGAAUUAGAGGAAUUCUUCUAGGAUAUAAUUAAGCAUGGGCUAAAUGCAAAUUGCAUAGUUUGAAGUCACACAAGGGUAGCUUAAGUUUAACGUGACAAUAUUUCAAAAUACUAUUUUCUUAUGUGAGGACUCCAGAAUAACCGUGAUCAUUUUUUUUUUAGGUGGCAGACCUUUAUUUCUGCUCCCUGUUAGAUUUCUUGUGUUUUAAAAAGCCUCUGCUUUUAAGUGAGAUGUCACCUGCAGCCUCGUGGUUUCCCCUUUUCAUACUCUUCACCAGAUACAAAGCACUUUGGCUUUGCUCAGCAUUUUUAACUUUUUCAAAGUAUGUUUACAUUUUUUUAUGCUUGCAACUCUGUGAAGUAGGAAGGAUGAGUCUUUCUACUCACCUUUUACCGACGACAACCACGAGCCACAGAGCGGUUAAACUGUGGCUUAAAGGCAGUGGCGCUUCCCCAGCAGCCCACGCUGCUUCCCCUUCCUGAGUGAAAUUACGUGGGCCCACGAGUUCUACUGGAACAAACACGGGGCCAGGCUAGGCAGUGCUGCUUGACACACCUGUGUGAUUGUGCACUCCAUUGUGUGGACAGAAGACUGCAGGAAAAUUAAUGGGUCAGAGAAAGCUUGUUUAUGAAUUCACAUGUUUUAUCUACACCGUCGUUUGAACCGGCUUUCAUAAUGACCUCACAUCAUCACACUAAGAGUUAUUCUCCAACUGACUUGGAGAUCAGUUCACUUAAUUUAUGUCACCUGCUUUCUAACUGUUUUACAUUCAGAUGUGAAAAUUUUAAUUUUAAAAUUAAGUUUUGGGCUCCCAAGCCCCAAACUUGGAAGACCAGUUAACAUGCCUUUUGUUAAUAGCCGCGUAAACACAUCUCCAGCUGAGAAGCAGGGGCUGCUUUCAAAUCAUUUGCUUCAGCUGGAACUAAAUCCAUGAAUUAGCCCAACGGGGAUGAUGAUGUUAUUCAAGAAUCUGGGGAAGAAAUGAAGGAUGAAACUGUUCAUAUCUUCUUACUCUUUCGGUAAUUCAUGUACAACUUCCCAAAAGGUGAGAUUUUUCAUAAUACUUCUGUCAGAGGCUUAUUUACCCCAAGAUUUCCAUUUUAAAGUUGUGUUCAGCUUUGUGGCCUGUUUUCACAGUUUUGUCAUUUAACUUCAUUUCAUUCUUCUGUUUUGCAUUAAAGAAUUAAUUUAUAA